AGUGAACGCUGGCGGUAGGCCUAACACAUGCAAGUCGAACGGCAGCACAGUAAGAGCUUGCUCUUACGGGUGGCGAGUGGCGGACGGGUGAGGAAUACAUCGGAAUCUACUUUUUCGUGGGGGAUAACGUAGGGAAACUUACGCUAAUACCGCAUACGACCUACGGGUGAAAGCAGGGGAUCUUCGGACCUUGCGCGAUUGAAUGAGCCGAUGUCGGAUUAGCUAGUUGGCGGGGUAAAGGCCCACCAAGGCGACGAUCCGUAGCUGGUCUGAGAGGAUGAUCAGACACACUGGAACUGAGACACGGUCCAGACUCCUACGGGAGGCAGCAGUGGGGAAUAUUAGACAAUGGGCGCAAGCCUGAUCCGGCCAUACCGCGUGGGUGAAGAAGGCCUUCGGGUUGUAAAGCCCUUUUGUUGGGAAAGAAAAGCAGCAGGUUAAUACCCCGCUGUUCUGACGGUACCCAAAGAAUAAGCACCGGCUAACUUCGUG
rnacentral:rRNA from 1 species